AGUCUGGCUGGAGCUGGACCGGCUGGUGGCGCCAGGCAGUGCCAAGCACCCCUGGCAGCCCUGCAGAGGGUUCUCAAAUCCAGAUUUCAUUCUGCAGUCCCGGCAGUGUUUUGACGACUGCCUCACUAAAGGAAGCUAAAAGCUGUGCUGAUGCCUCCCAGACGAGCCUCGUUGGAAGCACAGAACCUUCACGGCUCGGAGCCGCUGACACCGUGACAAAGGGAGCCCUGCUCAGGAGAAAGAGCAAAUGAGAGGCAGUUGCACUUUUUCAGGUGUCAGGCUGGAGGAAGCCACUUGAAGAUGAAUCUACCUCUGCCUUAGGAUUGCCUGAUGGCCUGUGCCAUUCCAUGUUAUAUCUACUGAUUUGCUCCCUGUAUUCAAAGAUUUUUUUUUUUUACUUAAUUCUCUCUUACUGACCCUGAGAGUGACCAUAUUUUUAACCAAUUUGGUCUUCAGCCUCAAAACUUAGCUCUUUCCUUUUGUGGUCCCCGAAUCCUAUCACGUGUCAUGGUGGCUGUGAAGAUGUUUGCCAAGCCUGCUGAGAAGGCUCAUCUGUGGCAUCCAAAAGCAGAGAUUUCAACUCUGGACCCCUGUGACCUGCCUUUGUAAUUAUGGAUACCCAGCACUGUUUUGAAAUAUCAGUGGACAUCCAGUUUUUAAAAGCCCUCAGAGCUUUGGGAGACACCCCUUUAUCUCUCUGGCAUGUCAGAGAACCGAUUCAACCCUUCUCAUCUCCUCCUCCUUCCCUCUCUUGGGCCAUCAGGAUGCGGCAGCAACUCACUGUGCAUGUUUUUACAGCUCUUCUCCAGUAAUGCUGCCAUUUCCACUGCAGACCACAGGAUAAAAGGACCGCUUCACCGUGGCCCAGGAUACCCUUUUAAGUAGGAGAGGGAGAAGAAAGUACUGCUUUGAUCUAAAAUUAAGCAAACGUUCUUCAAUAAACCCACCAUGAGACUUGACCACUAAUGGUGACCAGCAGUGGCUUUGUCAUGGCCCUGCCCACUGGGGGCAGGCACAUGCCGGGGCCAGGGCAGGCUGCCAGCUGAGUCUGGACACAGCUGACCGUAAUGUUUAUUCAAUCAAUGACUGCAAAAACUUGGGCUUUUACUCAAGGACUUGAGGAGCUGUUGAAGAUUUCAACUGAGAAGCUUCGAGAGGAACCUUGAGACUGAGCUAGUGCCCUUCGAUGGCUGUGUGAAAGGAUGGACUUCAUGGGAGGAAAGAAUCCGACAAGCUGAGAGGACGCUAAAGAAAAAGAAAAGAGGCACUGAAGGACUGGGCUAAACAGUGAUGAUAGACUCUCAAGUUAUGGAAGAAGCACAUAAAUGGGGCUGAGCAGGUCGCUGGAGUUAGGGGAGUUGGAGUCUGCUUUGGCUACCUUGCAUGGAAAUGAUGCUGGUUGUUAAACCAAGGAAUACAGGAAAAAAAAGACACUGUUUAGAGAUGACAUCAUGAUUUCAGUGUGAGUCAAUUUCAGUAUGAGACACCAAUGAGACACUCAGGAGGAGUGGGCUAGUUAACCACCCACCAGUGCCUGGAGCUCAAGAGGAAUGUCAGGGCUGGGAUGAAGGUAAGUCAGAAACACUCCAGAACAGCUAAAAACCAAGUCUACAUGCAGUGAGAAUAACAGUAGCAAGAUAUAACUAUAUAAUACUGGUCAAUAAUAAAAUUUAAAGCAAACAAGAAGAAAACUAGGAAGGUAGACUUGGAGCAAGCAUGUAGAGAGAUAUGAGAGAUCCAGAAACAAGUCAAGUCCAGAAAGUUAACAUGGGGAGAGAGUGGAUAUAUGAUUUUCAGACACCAUAGAAAGUGUCUGUCCUACUAGCAUACAGCCCUAUCCACUGGUUACUAGGUGAGGCAAUAGAUGUAUUAAUUAGCUGGGUUGUGGGGAUAUUUCAAAAUGUAUACAUAUAUAAAAACAACACCUUGUACAAGUUAAAUAAAUAAAAUUUCAAUUCGUCAAUGAUACACCAAUAAAGCUAAAAACAAACAAACAAACAAAAAAGGUGGCCAGGUGCAGUGGCUCAGUCCUAUAAUCCCAGCACUUGUGGAGGCCAGGGUGAGCAGAUCUCUUGAGUCCAGGAGUUUGAGACCAGUCUGGGCAACAUGGUAAAACCCCAUUUCUAUGAAAAAUGCAAAAACAUUAAAGGUGGUGGCACAUGCCUGUAGUCCCAGCUACUCUGGAGGAUAAGAUGGAAGGAUUACCUGAGCCCAGGAGGUCAAGUCUUCAGUGAGCCAUGAUCACACCACUGCACUCUAGCCUGGGUGACAGAGGG
rnacentral:lncRNA from 1 species